UUGGCCUACGGGACGCAGCAGUGAGGAAUAUUGGUCAAUGGGCGGAAGCCUGAACCAGCCAAGUCGCGUGAGGGAAGAAGGCCCUGCGGGUCGCAGACCUCUUUGGACGGGGAGCAAGGCCGCCGACGUGUCGGCGGAAGGAGAGUACCCGUAGAACAAGCAUCGGCUAACUCCGUGCCAGCAGCCGCGGUAAUACGGAGGAUCCGAGCGUUAUCCGGAUUUAUUGGGUUUAAAGGGAGCGUAGGUGGAUUGUUAAGUCAGUUGUGAAAGUUUGCGGCUCAACCGUCAAAUUGCAGUUGAAACUG
rnacentral:rRNA from 1 species